rnacentral:misc_RNA from 1 species
GAUGACACUCACAACAUUCCAAGAGUCGAAAUCCACUGCCAGCGACGACUAACUGGCAUUCCCACCGUGUGGGAAGCCCCGUCGUUUACGACGGGGAGGAUGUCACCCGGCUGAAC